UCCGGUUUGUCACCGGCAGUCACCUUAGAGUGCCCAACUAAAUGCUGGCAACUAAGAUCAAGGGUUGCGCUCGUUGCGGGACUUAACCCAACAUCUCACGACACGAGCUGACGACAACCAUGCACCACCUGUCACUUCUGUCCCCGAAGGGAAAACUCUGUCUCCAGAGCGGUCAGAAGGAUGUCAAGACCUGGUAAGGUUCUUCGCGUUGCUUCGAAUUAAACCACAUGCUCCACCGCUUGUGCGGGCCCCCGUCAAUUCCUUUGAGUUUCAGCCUUGCGGCCGUACUCCCCAGGCGGAGUGCUUAAUGUGUUAACUUCGGCACUAAGGGCAUCGAAACCCCUAACACCUAGCACUCAUCGUUUACGGCGUGGACUAC
rnacentral:misc_RNA from 1 species